rnacentral:tRNA from 1 species
GGGGCUAUAGCUCAGCUGGUAGAGCGCUUGCAUGGCAUGCAAGAGGUCGGCGGUUCGAUCCCGCCUAGCUCCACCA